GAUGAACGCUGGCGGCGUGCCUAAUACAUGCAAGUCGAGCGAACAGACGAGGAGCUUGCUCCUCUGACGUUAGCGGCGGACGGGUGAGUAACACGUGGAUAACCUACCUAUAAGACUGGGAUAACUUCGGGAAACCGGAGCUAAUACCGGAUAAUAUAUUGAACCGCAUGGUUCAAUAGUGAAAGACGGUUUUGCUGUCACUUUUAGAUGGAUCCGCGCCGCAUUAGCUAGUUGGUAAGGUAACGGCUUACCAAGGCAACGAUGCGUAGCCGACCUGAGAGGAUGAUCGGCCACACUGGAACUGAGACACGGUCCAGACUCCUACGGGAGGCAGCAGUAGGGAAUCUUCCGCAAUGGGCGAAAGCCUGACGGAGCAACGCCGCGUGAGUGAUGAAGGUCUUCGGAUCGUAAAACUCUGUUAUUAGGGAAGAACAAAUGUGUAAGUAACUAUGCACGUCUUGACGGUACCUAAUCAGAAAGCCACGGCUAACUACGUG
rnacentral:rRNA from 1 species